GAUGACGGCCUUUCGGGUUGUAAACCUUCUUUCAGUAGGGACGAAGCGCAAGUGACGGUACCUAUAGAAGAAGGACCGGCCAACUACGUGCCAGCAGCCGCGGUAAUACGUAGGGUCCGAGCGUUGUCCGGAAUUACUGGGCGUAAAGAGCUCGUAGGUGGUUUGUCGCGUUGUUCGUGAAAACUCACAGCUCAACUGUGGGCGUGCGGGCGAUACGGGCAGACUGGAGUACUGCAGGGGAGACUGGAAUUCCUGGUGUAGCGGUGGAAUGCGCAGAUAUCAGGAGGAACACCGGUGGCGAAGGCGGGUCUCUGGGCAGUAACUGACGCUGAGGAGCGAAAGCGUGGGGAGCGAACAGGAUUAGAUACCCUGGUAGUCCACGCCGUAAACGGUGGGUACUAGGUGUGGGUUUCCUUCCUUGGGAUCCGUGCCGUAGCUAACGCAUUAAGUACCCCGCCUGGGGAGUACGGCCGCAAGGCUAAAACUCAAAGAAAUUGACGGGGGCCCGCACAAGCGGCGGAGCAUGUGGAUUAAUUCGAUGCAACGCGAAGAACCUUACCUGGGUUUGACAUGCACAGGACGUGCCUAGAGAUAGGUAUUCCCUUGUGGCCUGUGUGCAGGUGGUGCAUGGCUGUCGUCAGCUCGUGUCGUGAGAUGUUGGGUUAAGUCCCGCAACGAGCGCAACCCCUAUCUUAUGUUGCCAGCGCGUUAUGGCGGGGACUCGUAAGAGACUGCCGGGGUCAACUCGGAGGAAGGUGGGGAUGACGUCAAGUCAUCAUGCCCCUUAUGUCCAGGGCUUCACACAUGCUACAAUGGCCGGUACAGAGGGCUGCGAAUCCGUGAGGUGGAGCGAAUCCCUUUAAAGCCGGUCUCAGUUCGGAUCGGGGUCUGCAACUCGACCCCGUGAAGUCGGAGUCGCUAGUAAUCGCAGAUCAGCAACGCUGCGGUGAAUACGUUCCCGGGCCUUGUACACACCGCCCGUCACGUCAUGAAAGUCGGUAACACCCGAAGCCGG
rnacentral:rRNA from 1 species